CAACCCACAUAGACGAUCUCUACGACAGUGCCCUUCUAAAAAUCUCCUCCACCACCUCAACGACAGUCGUCAAGAAAGAAACGAUGACGACACGCCGCAAGAGACUUUUGGACGAAGCACGCGGCUCCAUCGAGGAGACGAGCAUAGGGACUGCUGAGCUGGUGGUGCCGCAUGGUGUGCCCGACCCAAGAGGCCGCUCGCGCGGAGGCUUCGUGGCGGCUUAGAAAGAAGGUAGCCAGUGGUUACUUGAGCGACGGUAGAGAUGGCUAGACUUGAUUUCGGUGGCCGGUCUUGGAGGGAUGGUUCCGGCCCGUCCACCUGCUGAGUGGGGGACCUAGUCGGCUCGCCUCUCCUCUCCGUCGAACGUCUAACUAACCUCCUCCAGCUUCUAGUCAGGGCGGCCGCUAGUCUAGCGAUGCCAGUGUUAUUGGAUCCGGGAUGUAGCAGCAGGGACGAGCGUCAAAGACGAACCGCGGCGGCAGGUAGGCUGGCGAGUCGGGCGCGAAGUCGCCUCUACGUCUCCUGCCACCUAAAGUUCGAGGGGGUGAAGAAGUUGAUGGGNNNNNNNNNNNNAAACGUCGGACACUCUCUUUGUGCACUUUUCGUUCACGUCGAUACCUUUCUCGACUAUGAACUAAUGACAUCUUCAGUUUUCUACAUAUAUUAGAGGGACCUUCUUCUAAAAGGCAACAAGAGGUUAGGUUUCUAACUCUCUAGAGAUUCGAUACUUCGUUUCCUUCACAAGGAACGUCGAGAACAAUCACUUCCCGCGCGUCUCACCUAACUGUUUUUAGUGUUCUUCACAGAGCAAGAAACCGACGCCUAAGUUCUAACCCGAUUGACGUAUAAUCUGAAGCAUUUCCUUUUACCCAACCUUCAUUGUUGUUAACUUCUAUAUGCGAGACCUUAACUUUGUGUACCCUGGCUUGAACGCCCUUAACUAGCACCACAGGAGUACGCUCGAAACUCCGACGACCUUGUCUUCCCUUUCCGUCAAUAGAAAUUCCCGUCAAGUCGUCUGCUACUUCCGCAGUUUAAAAGACAAAUUUGAAACACAUGAUCGGGGGUUGAUUGUCUACUUAUUAGAGCUGGCCACAGGAACUUGUACUAUGUAGGGAAGAAUGGGCAUGUGACUAGUGUAGGAAGGCCGCACAAAUAGCCGUAGUAAGUUUGGAACUAUAAAUAAACGAGAUAAGUGUAAAGGGCUUGACAACAUAAAUCGGAAGAUAAGUAGAAGUCGUAUAUAUGGAUAUUUUGACGUACAACACACAGAGUAUUCCGAGUUGAUCACAGAGUCGUAUAUAAGUCUUGGUUAGCAACUAACUAUAUACCGAACAAUCUUACCUUCCUUAAACUUGUUCAUUUUAUUUUAUUUUAUCCCAUUCGAAUAGUUCUAUCGUGCGAAGUCGACCUUCUUUCCUUACAUAAGAUCUUUGAUCACAGUCAAAGAGUGUGUAACGUCAAGUUAAGGGCGUCUAAGAACACUGCGUGCGAGGUAAUCGCAAAAACUAUGAUCUUGCCGAGAAUAUCAUAAUACCUGGCUCCCUCCCUCAUCGAAAGAACACAAUUGUAGUGAUAGCCAACAGUCCGUUAGUCGGUGGGUUUGUUUUUCGGCCCAAGGUGAGUACAGGUGAACCCGACGUACUUAACCUAAGAGAGCGGGGCAGUGACUGUACGUCCGGUGCUCCUUAGUUAGUCAGCCGUCCCGGAGGGUGGUCUUAGACGUCUAAGAAAUAAAAAGUAAGUGCUAAUAAUAUUAUAGUCCUCCUCUGCGCCGACGGAAAGGCAGCCACAGUGAGGUGCAGUCAAGAGAGGUAGGUAGUUAGAUAACCGCAACUAACUCUCUUCUUUUCUUCCCAUAUUGGGACAAGUAGUCGUCGGUGAUUAUGCUUUCCCCCAGCCACGUUCACGUCGCCUACCUACCCCGUAAACUAGACUACGGUGGGCGGAAACGGCUAGUCGGUACCGUGGCGUGGUGAUUUUUCAUUCGUUCGUCCAGGGUUGGCGUAACUUCCUGCUAAGCUGCCUUUGCUUAUUUAUUUUGGUCGUGCGUUUGGACGUAGUUCUGUCUGUCUGUCGCUCGUUUCCUUGCCCUCCGGGUAAAUGUAUAUAUCGGGACGACGAGGACCGGGGAAAGGGGUCAAGGCAGGGUAAUAACCAAGAACGCUCCUCCCCCCGCCUCUUUGCCUUCGUCCUCCGUCUCUCCUCUAGCUCGGUCUCCCGCCGCUCGUUCCCGCGCUACCGCAGGUUCUCCUAUGUCUUCCUCGAAUUCCUAGACGUCUUCCUGGGGGGAUGGAGUACGUCGCGUCCAGGACACCCACUUCUAUACAAGGUAACCGUCCGUUGUUAUUACCCGGGUAGACUGUCGGGUAUAAGACCACCUCAAAAGGAUCAAUGAUAGGUGAAGGGAGGACUAAUAGGAAAGUUUGGUGGUUUCCACCGUAAGGCGUGGUUCCACAAGGUAGGUUUGUAGUUGUCGUUGCCCUCGUAAACAGACCUGUAGGAGUUCCUGGUUACCUCGGGGCGAGACUGGUAAAGGUUCCACGACGACAGGUAGACGAGGGACGACACACUGGGCUUGGGACUACUGGGAGACCAGGGACUCUAGCGGGUGUACAUGUUCUGCCUGGCCGUGUUCAUGCUCUCGUGGCGGUCCUGGACCUGCGUUUCCAUACGGUACAUUACGUUCUGCCGCCUACCCAGCGGCCUCAGUCAGAACAAACAUUGUAAGAGCUAGUCAAGCACACACGGGCGGGUCACACAGUGGACAGACAGUUUGACCGUGAGCAACGAGUUGACACAGUGGACCGCGUCACUGAACCUUGUACCUUGGCCACAACGUAUAAAACCUAAGUCUAUUUACAUCGGUGGACGGACGG
rnacentral:rRNA from 1 species